rnacentral:rRNA from 1 species
GUGGGGAAUAUUGGGCAAUGGGCGAAAGCCUGACCCAGCAACGCCGCGUGAAGGAAGAAGGUCUUCGGAUCGUAAACUUCUAUCCUUGGUGAAGAUAAUGACGGUAGCCGAGAAGGAAGCCCCGGCUAACUACGUGCCAGCAGCCGCGGUAAUACGUCGGGGGCAAGCGCUGUCCGGAAUGAUUGGGCGUAAAGGGCGCGUAGGCGGCCUGGUAAGUCUGGAGUGAAAGUCCUGCUUUUAAGGUGGGAAUUGCUUUGGAUACUGUCGGGCUUGAGUGCAGGAGAGGUCAGUUGAAUUCCGGGUGUAGCGGUGAAAUGCGUAGAGAUCGGGAGGAACACCAGUGGCGAAGGCGACUUACUAGACUGUAACUGACUCUGAGGCGCGAAAGUGUGGGGAGCAAACAGGAUUAGAAACCCGGGUAGUCC